UACAUGUGGGGCAAGCGUUGUUCGGAAUGACUGGGCGUAAAGGGCGCGUAGGCGGCUUGCACCGUCAGAUGUGAAAUUCCUGGGCUUAACCUGGGAAGUGCGCGCGAAACUGGCGGACUUGAAUGCCGGAGAGGGUCGCGGAAGUUCCCGGUGUAGAGGUGAAAUUCGUAGAUAUCGGGAGGAACACCAGUGGCGAAGGCGGCGACCUGGACGGACAUUGACGCUGAGACGCGAAAGCGUGGGGAGCAAACAGG
rnacentral:rRNA from 1 species